rnacentral:misc_RNA from 1 species
AAGUCGUAACAAGGUUUCCGUAGGUGAACCUGCGGAAGGAUCAUUACCAUAUCCAAAAAACUAUACCAACCCACCGUGUGAACUGUUGUUUUUUCCUACACUUGGGGUGCCGCUGUAAGGGAGGGGGUCUGCGUGGCACUGUGCAAACGGCGCUGCCUGCUCUUUUUUUUUUCGGCGAAGCCCCACCUGUGAGAAAAUUUUCCCCAAUCAACCCCUGGUCAAACCAAACCUUUACAACUCUGAAUUUUAUUUCUUUUUUUUUUGGCCAGGCUGGCUGGGCGUUCUGAACGUUGCGGUCUUCCUUGACAAUGAAAAAAACAAAUAACACAAAAACAAAACCAAUAGACAACUUAUGACGGUGGAUCUCUUGGCUCGU